rnacentral:rRNA from 1 species
UACGUAGGCAGCGAGCGUUGUUCGGAAUUACUGGGCGUAAAGCGUGCGCAGGCGGUGAUGUAAGACAGGUGUGAAAUCCCCGGGCUUAACCUGGGAACUGCAUUUGUGACUGCAUCGCUGGAGUGCGGCAGAGGGGGAUGGAAUUCCGCGUGUAGCAGUGAAAUGCGUAGAUAUGCGGAGGAACACCGAUGGCGAAGGCAAUCCCCUGGGCCUGCACUGACGCUCAUGCACGAAAGCGUGGGGAGCAAACAGG